rnacentral:rRNA from 1 species
UGGGGAAUCUUGCGCAAUGGGCGAAAGCCUGACGCAGCAACGCCGCGUGCGGGACGAAGGCCUUCGGGUUGUAAACCGCUUUCAGCAGGGACGAUAAUGACGGUACCUGCAGAAGAAGCCCCGGCCAACUACGUGCCAGCAGCCGCGGUAAGACGUAGGGGGCAAGCGUUGUCCGGAUUUAUUGGGCGUAAAGAGCUCGUAGGCGGUUUGGCAAGUCGGGUGUGAAAUCUCCGGGCUCAACUCGGAGGGGCCACUCGAUACUGCUAUGACUAGAGUCCGGUAGGGGAGCGUGGAAUUCCCGGUGUAGCGGUGAAAUGCGCAGAUAUCGGGAGGAACACCAGUAGCGAAGGCGGCGCUCUGGGCCGGAACUGACGCUAAAGAGCGAAAGCGUGGGGAGCGAACAG